rnacentral:lncRNA from 1 species
UCUCCGCUUGCUUCUCCGCUUGCUUAUUCCUCUCUGAGCGCUCCCGUUGUUGUCUAAUUAGUGUUCCCCGAAAAUCUUGAGGCAUGUAAGUCAUAACUGUAUUAAACACACGGUCAGAAUUCUUGGAUUGGAACAAUUCCAAAAUCUUCAAAGCGUUUUGAAGUUUAUCAAGUGAGAUCACAUUCCUCAGGAAUAAAAUCUAGCAAGACCUGUGGAACUCCAACCAAAUACUUCACAAGGGUGUUUGUAGACACCUGUUGCGGAACCAAGUUGAGCUAACUGUCUCCUCCUUUCCAUUUGUUGUUUUGGAACUCCAACCAAAUACUUCACAAGGGUUUUGUAGACACCUGUUGCGGAACCAAGUUGAGCUAACUGUCUCCUCCUUUCCAUUUGUUGUUUCCACAAUAGAGCAUAUCGAGCGCGUAUACUUCCACCAGAAUUGACGAGAUGCAAAAGGAGAGAUCUCUCAGCCUUCCACUUCAGUUACAGACUGCACACCUUCUUAAAAAAGGUUGAAUUGUCCCAAAUCAACUUAUAGUUUCCGACCAUACAUGUGCAGAAGUUUCCUUGGUCAGACUCAUAGCGCUGGUAAACUUUUUCCCAUUAUCCCAAGCGAUGUACGAGUUUAUUGAGUCCACAGUCAAAGAAACCUUAUAAGAAUUUUACAUAAGUUUUUGCCAGCUGCAACACUUAUCUCUUUGUGUUCAUCACUUUUCCUUGUUUCUAAUGACACCAGUAGUGUCUGACUGAUAUUAAGAAUGGUGAAUUUGCGAAGACCUCACCCAUAAAUUUGAUGAACCUCUCAAACUCAGUGGUGUAGACAUCAAUAGCUUGUUCCAAGGGGCCCUUCGUCAUCAUUUAUUUUCCCAAAGCAUCAAUUUGAGGUGUCUGAGAACAGUAGCAAGCUCAGCAUCAUCAGGUGUUGACUGCUGCUGAAGCACCACUGCACUGGCCAAUGAGAGGUGACGCCACUGCGUGCGGUACAUCUGAGACGUGGGCCCUCUUCAAUUUCUUUCCAAUGGCAAGAGUCAAGGCCUUUUACGCUACAACAUGAGUGCUGGCAUGGGGCAUCCUCGGAAGAAUCUGCCUGGAAAAUCUUGAGGCAUGUAAGUCAUAUAAACACACGGUAUAGGUAUAUUCCUCUCGUUGUUGUGUGUUCCCCCCACAAUAGAGCAUAUCGAGCGCGUAUACUUCCACCAGAAUUGACCAAAGCAUCAAUGCAGUGUUGGCGUGCAAAGAAUGUUCUCGAUUCUUCCACAUGUUCUCAUCUUUGCCGGAUCGACCGGAGAGAACGCCUAUCAAUUCCCUCUCACCACAUUCUUUACAUCAGGAUGUCUAGUGUUCCCCGAAAAUCUUGAGGCAUGUAAGUCAUAACUGUAUUAAACACACGGUCAGAAUUCUUGGAUUGGAACAAUUCCAAAAUCUUCAAAGCGUUUUGAAGUUUAUCUUUGAGGUGUCUGAGAACAGUAGCAAGCUCAGCAUCAUCAGGUGUUGACUGCUGCUGAAGCACCACUGGCCAAUGAGAGACAAGGACUCAAGGAGCACCGAAACAACGGUUUUGGAAGAGGCGUGCGGUACAUCUGAGACGUGGGCCCUCUUCAAUUUCUUUCCAAUGGCAAGAGUCAAGGCCUUUUACGCUACAACAUGAGUGCUGGCAUGGGGCAUCCUCGGAAGAAUAUCUAGGUAUGCAGUGUUGGCGUGCAAAGAACGGAACAUUAUGGGUUCGGAUGAGGGGCGCCCGGAAAAUGUACGGAGUGAAAGUAAUGUUCCCCGAAAAUCUUGAGGCAUGUAAGUCAUAACUGUAUUAAACACACGGUCAGAAUUCUUGUGACGCCACUGAUUUUAUGUGGAGGCUGACGGUCUGCUUCAUCCAACAAUAAUCUUUCAUCUUCAGUGGGAGGAAGAUGGUUGAGCAAAUCGUCAGCCAUCGAGCGAAUCUCGGAGGAAAGGCGAGAAACGUCAUCGGACGGAGGUGCAAAUGGGUACUUGUCGUAAUAAGAAGCCAGAUAACUCCUGGUUAUCGGUACCAGACCGUCGGUAGAAGCCAUUUCUUAUUUCUUAUCUCUUUAAUUUUCACAAUUUGAAUAAGGACUU